rnacentral:tRNA from 1 species
GGAGGAUUAGCCUAAUGGUAAGGCAUCAGUCUUGAAAACUGACGUGCGAUGAAAGUCGUUUGUGGGUUCGAGUCCCAUGUCCUCCUCCA